rnacentral:rRNA from 1 species
GUGGAUUAGAUACCCGGGUAGUCCACGCCCUAAACGAUGUCUACUAGUUGUCGGGUCUUAAUUGACUUGGUAACGCAGCUAACGCGUGAAGUAGACCGCCUGGGGAGUACGGUCGCAAGAUUAAAACUCAAAGGAAUUGACGGGGACCCGCACAAGCGGUGGAUGAUGUGGAUUAAUUCGAUGCAACGCGAAAAACCUUACCUACCCUUGACAUGGACGGAAUCCCGAAGAGAUUUGGGAGUGCUCGAAAGAGAGCCGUUACACAGGUGCUGCACGGCCGUCGUCAGCU